rnacentral:rRNA from 1 species
CGAAGGAUGCAAGCGUUAUCCGGAUUCAUUGGGUUUAAAGGGAGCGUAGGUGGACUGAUAAGUCAGUGGUGAAAUCUUCGAGCUUAACUCGGAAAUUGCCAUUGAUACUGUUGGUCUUGGGUACAGUUGCUGUGGGCGGAAUAUGACAUGUAGUGGUGAAAUACAUAGAGAUGUCAUAGAACACCGAUUGCGAAGGCAGCUCACAAAGCUGUAACUGACACUGAGGCUCGAAAGUGCGGGGAUCAAACAGGAUUAGAUACCCUGGUAGUCCGCACCGUAAACGAUGAUUACUCGCUGCUAGAUGGCAACAUUUAGUGGCUUAGCGAAAGCGAUAAGUAAUCCACCUGGGGAGUACGCCGGCAACGGUG